rnacentral:ncRNA from 2 species
GGAUAAGACACGGGGUGCCCAGCCCCCGAUGAGGCCGGGCUGAGAUUACACCCGUUGAACCUGAUCGAACUCGAAUUCGCGGAGGAAUUGUCUGAUGGCCGAACG